UACGGAGGAUCCGAGCGUUAUCCGGAUUUAUUGGGCUUAAAGGGUGCGUAGGCGGCCUGAUAAGUCAGGGGUGAAAGAUGGUAGCUCAACUAUCGCAGUGCCCUUGAUACUGAUGGGCUUGAAUGUACUAGAGGUAGGCGGAAUGUUACAAGUAGCGGUGAAAUGCAUAGAUAUGUCACAGAACACCAAUUGCGAAGGCAGCUUACUGUGGUAUGAUUGACGCUGAGGCACGAAAGCGUGGGGAGCAAACAGG
rnacentral:rRNA from 1 species